UUCUCUCCAAAAGUGGCAAUACGGCUUCCGGGAUCCAGAAACAUAUUCUUAAUUAAUUUAACUAGAGUGGAGGCGCUCAAGGUGAGCUCAGAACGAAUCUUCAAGUCACAACACUAGCCUUGAGAUUAUGCAACCCGGCGGCAUUGCCGACGCGUACAAAAAGCUUGCCUCAGCUAUUGAAGGAGCAACAUAGCGCAGUGGGAAUGAAAACUGACCAUCGAUGUUGUCUGAGAGGAUCUCCGAUUUUAUGGACCUAAUUGCAUUAUACCGAGGUGGGAAGUAAGAUUGCAUUCACUAAUGGAUUACUAUUAGAACUAGAGUGCCCAGAAGAACUGCCAAGGCAAUAUUUUUGCAAGGCCUCGAAUUGUGAAAGAUGCCGCAAAUCAACAUAAUAUCCCACCAAUCAUUUUUAUUCCAAAUCAUAGUGGUGACAUUCAUUGCAAACUUCUGCAUCAUUUACACGGUCUGGAAGUUGUCGAUAGAGGAAGAAGACGAAGAUGAGAAAUUUAAAUCAGCAAUUUUUUUAGAUAAAAUAUGUAAGUUUUGUUUGAGACCGGAAAAUCUUACGAAAA